rnacentral:sRNA from 1 species
GCCAGGUGUGGCGGUGUAUGCCUGUCUGUCAGCACUUGGGAGGCUGAGGCUGGAGGAUCACUUUUGAGCCCAGGAGUUUGAAGCCAUCCUGAGCAAUCUAGUGAGAUCCUGCCUCAA